rnacentral:lncRNA from 1 species
UGAAACCCAACUUUGAGACAAUAUGGCCUAAUUUUAUUUGAACCCUUGCAACAUUUAGCCAUCACUUUUCUCUUUAUUAUCUUUAAAUUGUCCGAAACACUAGACUCAGUACUAUUUAGAACAUUCUUUGAAAAUAAGUUUAGGGGAGUUGAAAAGAAGUAUCAAAUGCUCAAAAAUUUGUAGUACAUACAACAAAAUGCUCGUGAAAAAAAAAAGAAAAAAAAAAGAGAAAAGAAUAUGUACUUAAAAGAAGAUAGAUGUAUAAAAGAGCAUGUGAAAGCAAAGUAAGUUGGUGUAUUGAAGGUAAUUAUUCCAAAAGUCCAAUUCAAGCUGAGUCUAGUGUCUUUAGCCUAAAUUUAUCUAUCUUUUCCCUACCCCUAGCCUAACCACGUUACAA